rnacentral:rRNA from 1 species
AGAGUUUGAUCAUGGCUCAGGACGAACGCUGGCGGCGUGCUUAACACAUGCAAGUCGAACGGAAAGGCCCCUUCGGGGGUGCUCGAGUGGCGAACGGGUGAGUAACACGUGGGUGAUCUGCCCUGCACUUCGGGAUAAGCUUGGGAAACUGGGUCUAAUACCGGAUAGGACUCCGAGAUGCAUGUCUUGGGGUGGAAAGUUUUUAACGGUGUGGGAUGGGCCCGCGGCCUAUCAGCUUGUUGGUGGGGUGAUGGCCUACCAAGGCGACGACGGGUAGCCGGCCUGAGAGGGUGUCCGGCCACACUGGGACUGAGAUACGGCCCAGACUCCUACGGGAGGCAGCAGUGGGGAAUAUUGCACAAUGGGCGCAAGCCUGAUGCAGCGACGCCGCGUGGGGGAUGACGGCCUUCGGGUUGUAAACCUCUUUCACCAUCGACGAAGGCCCGGUUUUUGGCUGGGUUGACGGUAGGUGGAGAAGAAGCACCGGCCAACUACGUGCCAGCAGCCGCGGUAAUACGUAGGGUGCGAGCGUUGUCCGGAAUUACUGGGCGUAAAGAGCUCGUAGGUGGUUUGUCGCGUUGUUCGUGAAAUUCCCUGGCUUAACUGGGGGCGUGCGGGCGAUACGGGCAGACUGGAGUACUGCAGGGGAGACUGGAAUUCCUGGUGUAGCGGUGGAAUGCGCAGAUAUCAGGAGGAACACCGGUGGCGAAGGCGGGUCUCUGGGCAGUAACUGACGCUGAGGAGCGAAAGCGUGGGGAGCGAACAGGAUUAGAUACCCUGGUAGUCCACGCCGUAAACGGUGGGUACUAGGUGUGGGUUUCCUUCCUUGGGAUCCGUGCCGUAGCUAACGCAUUAAGUACCCCGCCUGGGGAGUACGGCCGCAAGGCUAAAACUCAAAGG